rnacentral:rRNA from 1 species
AACGAACGCUGGCGGCAUGUCUAACACAUGCAAGUCGAACGAGACCUUCGGGUCUAGUGGCGCACGGGUGCGUAACGCGUGGGAACCUGCCCUUAGGUUCGGAAUAACUCCCCGAAAGGGGUGCUAAUACCGGAUAAUGUCUUCGGACCAAAGAUUUAUCGCCUUUGGAUGGGCCCGCGUUGGAUUAGCUAGUUGGUAAGGUAAAAGCCUACCAAGGCGACGAUCCAUAGCUGGUCUGAGAGGAUGAUCAGCCACACUGGGACUGAGACACGGCCCAGACUCCUACGGGAGGCAGCAGUGGGGAAUAUUGGACAAUGGGCGAAAGCCUGAUCCAGCAAUGCCGCGUGAGUGAUGAAGGCCUUAGGGUUGUAAAGCUCUUUUACCCGGGAUGAUAAUGACAGUACCGGGAGAAUAAGCUCCGGCUAACUCCGUG